GAAGCUGACCAGACAGUCGCCGCUUCGUCGUCGUCCUCCUUCGGGGGGAGACGGGCGGAGGGGAGGAAAGUCCGGGCUCCAUAGGGCAAGGUGCCAGGUAACGCCUGGGGGGUGUCACAGCCCACGACCAGUGCAACAGAGAGCAAACCGCCGAUGGCCCGCGGAAGCGGGAUCAGGUAAGGGUGAAAGGGUGCGGUAAGAGCGCACCGCGCGGCUGGUAACAGUCCGUGGCACGGUAAACUCCACCCGGAGCAAGGCCAAAUAGGGGUUCAUAAGGUACGGCCCGUACUGAACCCGGGUAGGCUGCUUGAGCCAGUGAGCGAUUGCUGGCCUAGAUGAAUGACUGUCCACGACAGAACCCGGCUUAUCGGUCAGUUUCACUC
rnacentral:RNase_P_RNA from 1 species